GAGAAUGGGGGAGUUGUGGACCUGGAGGAGUUUGUGGUCAGUGGCAAGUCUAGGGUUAUGGUGAUGAAUAUUGAUAGGACUCGCCUGUUGAAAGAGUUGCCGGAGAGUAAGCAGCAGAGCGAUUCAAAUUCCGACCAGAAAAGUCGAGGUCUUGAGGGUCCCAGGAAUGGGGGUGAUUUUGUCAGUAGUAGUGGUGGAGGUUUUGGAAUGGGGAGGCCAAUGCCGGAUAUGUGGAUGGGAGGGCCGGGAAUGCCACCCGUGUUUCCUCCCGGAGGAGGAGUGGGGCCGAGGGGUGGUGGUCCGAGAGGGAUGGCUGGGAUUAUGGGGGUCCCUAGAGGUGUUGGCGUGCCGCCUCCUAUGCAGAGACCUCCCAUGGGGUCGAAUGGACCUAUGGGCGGCCCGGGUGCCAUUGCUCUGAAGCCAAGGACCGAGGAGGAUGAUAUGAAGGAUCUUGAGGCUUUGUUGAAUAAGAAGAGCUUUAGGGAAAUGCAGAAGUCUAAAACCGGAGAGGAGCUUUUGGACCUCAUUCACAGGCCCACUGCUAGGGAAACUGCUGUGG
rnacentral:lncRNA from 1 species